rnacentral:lncRNA from 1 species
UGGGGACGAACAACCUCCGGGACAGUAGGGAAAUCAUCUACUUAAAUCCCAGGCAUCUAGGACAGUAGGGACGUCAUCCACUUAGAUCCUAGGCAUCCAAGUAGGUGGGUCGUCGCCCUCCACCGCACUUGGGGACGAACAACCUCCGGGACAGUAGGGAAAUCAUCUACUUAAAUCCCAGGCAUCUAGGACAGUAGGGACAUCAUCCACUUAGAUCCUAGGCAUCCAAGUAGGUGGGUCGUUGCCCUCCACCACACUUAGGGAAAAACAACCUCUGGAACAGUAGGGAAAUCAUCCACUUAGAUUCCAGGCAUCCAAGUAGGUGGGUCGUCGCCCUCCACCACACUUGGGGAACAUAAACCUCUGGGACAGUAGGGACAUCAUCCACUUAGAUCCCAGGCAUCCAAGUAGGUGGGUCGUCGCUCUCCACCACACUUGGGG